UCCCUGGUGGUCUAGUGGUUAGGAUUCCGCGCUCUCACUGCCAUGACAUGGGUUCGAUUCCCAUCCAGGGAA